rnacentral:rRNA from 1 species
UACAGAGGUCUCAAGCGUUGUUCGGAUUCAUUGGGCGUAAAGGGUGCGUAGGUGGCGCGGUAAGUCGGGUGUGAAAUCUCGGAGCUUAACUCCGAAAUUGCAUUCGAUACUGCCGUGCUUGAGGACUGGAGAGGAGACUGGAAUUCAUGGUGUAGCAGUGAAAUGCGUAGAGAUCAUGAGGAAGACCAGUGGCGAAGGCGGGUCUCUGGACAGUUCCUGACACUGAG